rnacentral:ncRNA from 13 species
GAUAGCUCAGUUGGUAGAGCGGUGGACUGUAGAGGCUCAUGCCAAGAUAUCCAUCUCCAUCGGUCACUGGUUCGAUUCUGGUU